GGCGACUACUAGAGGUGAUGAGAUUGAAGUCAAAUGAUUUCACUAUUAAACUUGGUAUAUAGUAAGUAGAAAAGUAAUCUGGCUAAAUAACUUUUUCCAAAAAAAAGCACACACUGUGUGUUUUGCAACUGAAGAAAACUUGCUGUUCAAAGUGAGCAGGAAACUAGAAACUGAUUGAAGAUAAAGAUACCUUUAAUGUUAUAAUAGAAUUGUUUUGCAACUGCACAUUCAGUUCGUUAUCUCGUUUCCCUAAAAAAUAAUAUUGUAAAGUCGUUCGCUAUAUAAAUCCUAAAGAUAAUCAUAAAAUUGAAGAUUUGUUUUCCUUAAGCUCUGCUAUCAUCUUCGUCAAAGUGCCUGAGCUACGAAGUUUGUUCAAAUCGGAAUUGCCUUUAUAUAAUGUAUUAGUAAUAAACAACAGAGAAAAACCAACGAGAAUAUUAAUGGUCAAGGAAAACAAAUUUGGGUUCAUACCUCCAAUGAAUUGGUUGCGAAAGAAUAUGCUGGGUACUGUAGACUGUUUGGUCUUUUCAUGUAAAUAAGCUGCUCAGGUAAGCAUAUGAUAAAAUCAGUUUGUUAACUAAACACACCUUGGAUGUCAGAUCCAUUUUCUAGUGUAACAUCAAGUUAGUUAAAAAGGAUGAAAAGCAGAACAAAAAACUUGAAAUGUUUCGCUAUUUCUCAAGAUCAUGGAAGGAAACAAAAAUUUUCGUAGUUUCAUUACACAAUUAUGAGGUUUCGAAAACCCAAUUAGACUAUUAUUUCAUAUACUUAAUUUAUGUAGACAUAACUCAAGAAACUUUACAAUCGAUCAACUGAAUCUUCAGCUCUUAAACAAAUGAAGAAUACCAUACUUACCUAUUUUAUCUAACUCAUAAGCCUUAUACGGAGCAGAGUACUUUGUAAGAGUAUUUUUGGCUGCUUUGCAGAAAGGACAGAACGAUUUACUAAAGACAGUAACCGGAUUGUU